rfam:Paenibacillus alvei DSM 29 PAV_12c, whole genome shotgun sequence.
AUCGAACACUAGGGGUGCUGUAACAAGCUGAGAGACAGCGGCAACGCUGUUAACCCUUAUAACCCGAACUAGAUAAUACUAGCGUGGGGAAGUGUAGUCGACUGAUU